rnacentral:tRNA from 1 species
GCCGCGGUAGCUCAAUUGGUUAGAGCAUCGCACUCGUAAUGCGAAGACGUGGCAUCGUUCCCCUCCUGCGGCA